GCCUAUACUGCAAGUCGAACGCACUCUCGUUUAGAUUGAAGGAGUUUGCUCCUGAUUGAUAAACAUUUGAGUGAGUGGCGGACGGGUGAGUAACACGUGGGUAACCUGCCCUAAAGUGGGGGAUAACAUUUGGAAACAGAUGCUAAUACCGCAUAAAACCUAACACCGCAUGGUGUAGGGUUGAAAGAUGGUUUCGGCUAUCACUUUAGGAUGGACCCGCGGUGCAUUAGUUAGUUGGUGAGGUAAAGGCUCACCAAGACCGUGAUGCAUAGCCGACCUGAGAGGGUAAUCGGCCACACUGGGACUGAGACACGGCCCAGACUCCUACGGGAGGCAGCAGUAGGGAAUCUUCCACAAUGGACGAAAGUCUGAUGGAGCAACGCCGCGUGAGUGAAGAAGGUUUUCGGAUCGUAAAACUCUGUUGUUGGAGAAGAAUGUAUCUGAUAGUAACUGAUCAGGUAGUGACGGUAUCCAACCAGAAAGCCACGGCUAACUACGUGCCAGCAGCCGCGGUAAUACGUAGGUGGCAAGCGUUGUCCGGAUUUAUUGGGCGUAAAGCGAGCGCAGGCGGUUUCUUAAGUCUGAUGUGAAAGCCUUCGGCUCAACCGAAGAAGUGCAUCGGAAACUGGGAAACUUGAGUGCAGAAGAGGACAGUGGAACUCCAUGUGUAGCGGUGAAAUGCGUAGAUAUAUGGAAGAACACCAGUGGCGAAGGCGGCUGUCUGGUCUGUAACUGACGCUGAGGCUCGAAAGCAUGGGUAGCAAACAGGAUUAGAUACCCUGGUAGUCCAUGCCGUAAACGAUGAGUGCUAGGUGUUGGAGGGUUUCCGCCCUUCAGUGCCGCAGCUAACGCAUUAAGCACUCCGCCUGGGAGUACGACCGCAAGGUUGAAACUCAAAGGAAUUGACGGGGGCCGCACAGCGGUGGAGCAUG
rnacentral:rRNA from 1 species